AUGGCAGUAGUGUUCGGAUUCCCCGAUAAAGUAGGUAUUUUAUAAGAACGCUUUUUUGAUUUGAUACAUGUAAAGAACACCAAAGAACUAACAUUAAAUUAAGAUUUGUCAGCUUUAUUUUCCAACAAUGCCUUUGGUGUUCAAAAUUUACGUCGCCAAGGAUACGACAGGGAUAAGGACAUGAAGGGUGAGUUCAAUGGAUUACAAGAACAUCUCCUCAAAGAUUGUAUAUAUGCAUAUUUUGUACACUUCUAUGCACAUCGGCAACCUACCCUUAUUGCUGCAUUAAAGGAUGUUCUUCCUUUUAGCCAAAUUUUCCAGAAACUUCCCUACAUCAUAAACAUUGUUGACUCCUCGUCAAAGGAUGCCAAAGUUGGUUGAGACAAGCAAAGGGGGAACCAUAUCAUGGCAUUAAAGCAUCCUCGAGACACUCGAUGGGGUUCGCACUUGGGUUCUAUAUCUAGCCAUAUGGAUAUGUUCAAUGCAGUAGGUACAACUCUACAAAAUAUAGCUUCUGACACUUAUGCUGGUACACACCGAGCUGAUGCAGAUACUUCUUACAACUAUUUGAUCAACUUUGAGUUUGUGUUGGGCCUAUGUAUGACGAGGGAGAUAUUGGAAAUUAGUAAAGAUCUUGGGAAAGCUUUACAAAGAAAAGACAUAAGAAUGCAAUUCGUCUAG
rnacentral:rRNA from 1 species